UGGGAGCAAUGGGGAGUGGUAGAGAUCGUGUUGAACUGAUUGACACAUGUCCCUUCUGAAGAGUUGAGCCACUCCUAAGCUCUAUGUGGGAGUGCCACAAGGGAAUGGGGGAUCCAAACUGCCUCUCAGAGUUUAGACUUUAAUGAAGAAUCUUCCAAGUGUUAAAUGUUGACUCACAUCAAUAUAUAUGUAGGUCAACCAGACUAAUGCCACAGGCAGACCUGCAGCAGAUGAGCAUCCAUGAUGCCCUCUCCAUAGCCUCAGAGGACACCACAAACAUUGCAAUUGAACAUAGUGUCCAUGGUUACCCCAGCUGGUGCAGCAUGGUGACCCAGAUUCCACCAGCCACAGUGAGCAAUGAUACUUUGUCUCUGAGCAGAGUUCUCCAAGACACUGUUUAAACUUUAGUGUGUAUAAGAACCCUCUAUAAUAAUUGUCCUGAGACUCACUAUCUGAUAUUCUGAGGGAGAGCCUUGGAGUCUAUAUCUAAAAAAAAAAAAAAUUCUAAUAGACUUUAUUUUCUACAACACUUUUAGAUUUAUAAAAAAGAGUUCCCAUAAACCCAAUUUCCCCCCUUUUGUUAACACCUUACGUUAGUAUGACAAUUAAUGAACCAGUCCUGAUACAUUAUUAACUAAAGCCCAAUACUUUCAUUAUUAAAGUCCAUACAUUAUUCAGGGUUUCUGACUGUUUGCUUAAUGUUCUUUUUCUAUUCCAGAACCAUCCAGGUUUCCACAUUACCCUUGUAGUUGUGUCUCCUUAGGCUCCUCCUGGCUUGUCAAGGAUACACACUAUCAACCUGGCUUAUCACUGUUGACAUUGACCUUGAUUGCCUCCCUGAGGUGGUGUUUGUCCAGUUUCUCUACUGAAAAAACACUCUGCCUUCCACAUGGCAGUCCUUAGACGUCAGAAUGCACGGCCACACUUACAGAGUGAGUUUGACUCCACCUCUUUGAGGACAGAGUAUCUACAUAAAUUACUAAGAAUUCCUCUGCACAGAUUUGUCUCUUCCUUUCCCCCUUUUGUUUAUAUCAGUAUGGACUCAUGGAUAUUUAUCUCAUACUUUGGAUAAUAAUCCAAUACUACUUUGUUUUGUUGCUCAAAUUGCUCCAACGUUGGCCACUGAAAGUUCUUUCUGUGAUCUCCUGUGUCUCUUGGAUAAUCCUCCAUCAGUGUGGGUUUUCGGCCUCCUCUGUAAUGAGCUCCUCAGGUUAUGCGGAUGGAGGUGGUCCCAGGCCACACUGUGGUAAAGUGGCUAUAGGAGUCGGCCCUGAACUCUGCUAAAUACGGAACGCUGCCCAGUCAGGGAUUCCUUCAGCAGGUGGAUAAGGGAGUAACUCCUCUGUGAUCUUAUUCAUUCAGCAAACACUUACC
rnacentral:lncRNA from 1 species